rnacentral:rRNA from 1 species
UACGAAGGGGGCUAGCGUUGCUCGGAAUCACUGGGCGUAAAGGGUGCGUAGGCGGGUCUUUAAGUCAGGGGUGGAAUCCUGGAGCUCAACUCCAGAACUGCCUUUGAUACUGAGGAUCUUGAGUUCGGGAGAGGUGAGUGGAACUGCGAGUGUAGAGGUGAAAUUCGUAGAUAUUCGCAAGAACACCAGUGGCGAAGGCGGCUCACUGGCCCGAUACUGACGCUGAGGCACGAAAGCGUGGGGAGCAAACAGG